rnacentral:rRNA from 1 species
CGGUGGAUCACUCGGCUCGUAGGUCGAUGAAGAACGCAGCUAACUGCGAUAAUUAGUGUGAACUGCAGAAACCUUGAACACCAAAUAUUCGAAUGCACAUUGCGCCAUUGGAAUUUUAUCCUUUGGCACGCCUGAUUCAGGGUCUUAA